rnacentral:misc_RNA from 1 species
GGGUUUAUUACGAAAGCAAAGCAUCUGAACUUGGGGCACUGAAAGCUAAAGAGAGAGGAAACCAAUUCUAAAGAGGUUAGUUCGAGCAAAUUCUCUGUUCACUUUGCACCUUCAUAAGAACUUCUCUAUGCUGGUGGCCAAAGUACUUUUGGGAAUUGCACCAAUAAUUGCAUCUUUCUUUUCACCAUUCUUGAAUAUCAUAACA